rnacentral:tRNA from 1 species
GGGCUGUGGCUCAGCGGUUAAGAGCACUGGCUGCUCUUCCGGAGAGCCUGGGUUCAAUUCCCAGCAACCACA